UACGAAGGGGGCUAGCGUUGUUCGGAUUAACUGGGCGUAAAGGGUGCGUAGGCGGGUCGUUAAGUGCCUUGUGAAAUCCCAUGGCUCAACCAUGGAACUGCUGGGCAUACUGGCGAUCUUGUGCCACCUAGGGGCGAGCGGAACAGAUGGUGGAGCGGUGAAAUGCGUAGAUAUCAUCUGGAACGCCAAUGGUGAAAACAGCUCGCUGGGGGUGUGCAGACGCUGAGACACGAAAGCCAGGGGAGCAAACGGG
rnacentral:rRNA from 1 species